rnacentral:rRNA from 1 species
GGACUACCCGCUGAACUUAAGCAUAUCAAUAAGCGGAGGAAAAGAAACUAACAAGGAUUCCCCUAGUAACGGCGAGUGAAGCGGGAAGAGCUCAAAUUUAAAAUCUGGCGGUGUAUUCCGUCCGAGUUGUAGUCUAGAGAAGCAUCAUCCGUGCCGGACCAUGUACAAGUCUCUUGGAACAGAGCGUCAUAGAGGGUGAGAAUCCCGUCCUUGACAUGGACUCCCGGUGCUUUGUGUUGAGCUCUCAACGAGUCGAGUUGUUUGGGAAUGCAGCUCAAAAUGGGUGGUAAAUUCCAUCUAAAGCUAAAUAUUGGCGAGAGACCGAUAGCGAACAAGUACCGUGAGGGAAAGAUGAAAAGCACUUUGGAGAGAGAGUUAAACAGUACGUGAAAUUGUUGAAGUGGAAACGAUUGAAGUCAGUCGCGUUCCCUGGGAUUCAGCCUUGCUUCUGCUUGGUGCAUUUCCUAGUCUACGGGCCAGCAUGGAUUUCGACCGUUGGAAAAGGGCUGGGGGAAUGUGGUACCUUCGGGUGUGUUAUAGCCCCUUGUCGCAUGCAUCGGUUGGGAUCGAGGACCUCAGUGCACGCUUCGGUUGUGCUUUGAUGCUGGCGUAAU